rnacentral:lncRNA from 1 species
UAUGUUUGUUUUGGUCUUUUUUCUCUAAUACUAUAUGUUAUAGGUCAACUAUAUUUGGUGUAUGGAAAUAUUUUAUGAUCUCUAUGUCGGUUGCGCAGGAUUUAAUUGAACGUGACCUCAUUUUCACGGUUCAUUGCGCAUGUUAAGUUUUUGUGUUUUGAUCUAGUUUUCUUAAACUAUAAGUAAUAGGUCAACUUUAUUUGAUGUAUGGAAGCAUUGUUAGCUGUACAUGUUUGCCUGGCAUGGUGCAGCUGACCUGGACCUUAUUUUCAUGGUUCAUGGGUCUUUGUUUAGUUAUCUUGGUUAAUGUUUAGUUUAUAUGACAGUUGUAAUAGAGCUUUAUACUUAGGACUAUCAAAAUAAUAUAAAUGAUUAGUAAAGAAGGCGAGAAUUUUCAGCGUGUGCACUCUUGUGUUUCUGAGUUGUAAUUUUGAAUGAUUUGUCGUCGGUAGAAAUGUAUAUACUCCAAUUAAAAUAAUUGAAGAACAAGGAAGGAACAAGUGAAAUAUGAGAUGUAAUUCAUUAAUAAAAAACAAAAUGUAUCGCAUGUAAUGAUGAUGAAAUAUUAUACAGUUUUAAACAUUUAAUAAUGUCACACAUAAACGUGUUUAACACCUUCCUGGUGGCUGCCUGGACUGGUCGACGAAGAUACUGGUUUAAAUUCUCAACAACCAAAGCAUGGUAGGCUGACUCUGUGUACACUGAUGGGAAGAGAACAGUGACAUACCCCUUUAUAACAUUCUUUCUGUUGCAUAUUUGCUGAGCUUAUCACCCCGCCCCUGUAAGAGUAAUGAAUACGAUCCUGAUCUG